AUGUCCCCAGGAUGGGCGGGAG
rnacentral:rRNA from 2 species